GGCGGGGUAGCCAAGUUCGGUAAAGGCAAUGGACUUUGACUCCAUGAUUCGUAGGUUCAAAUCCUACUCCCGUCGCCA
rnacentral:tRNA from 1 species